UGGGGAAUAUUGCACAAUGGGGGGAACCCUGAUGCAGCGACGCCGCGUGGGUGAAGGAGUAUUUCGGUAUGUAAAGCCCUAUCAGCAGGGAAGAACAAUGACGGUACCUGACUAAGAAGCACCGGCUAAAUACGUGCC
rnacentral:rRNA from 1 species